UGAAGGUGGCAACCCUCAGUACCACCAGCAACCUUUUGUGAAAGUGAGCGAAACACCCCUUUUCAGUGGCAGUGGCAGGAGUGUCACCUGCGUCAGGCUUUUACAAGAGAACCAAUUAUAAUAAAUAGUGAUAUAGUAUUUUGAUAUAACCCCUGAAUCUCAGAAUAAGAAUAAAAAGUAUACGUUGAAAGACUACAAUUUCGAAGCUUCGAAACGUUAUUUCUUUUAUUGUUAUUUCUGUUUGCUUCGAUUUGAAAAAAAAUAUAUAUAUAUAUGACCUCCUUUUUCUGAAAUUUUCGUUCUGGAGGGAAAACAGGUGGUUGGGUGGUGAUCGUCUGGCCAUCGCGUCGUUAAGAUCGCAAAUCCUGAUUGGACGCAGGCUAUCAUCGACCUUAUAAGCAUGGGCGGCCUAUGGUGGGUGGCAGUGCUGGCGGCCGUGGGCGUGGUGGUGCCGCCCGCGAUGCCUUGUUCUUGUCUCAACCGCCACCCACAACAACACGUGUGCGAGGCGGAUUUUGGUAAGUACUCUUGUUAGUUGUUAGUUGUGGUUGUUAAGGGUUGGUUGUUGUGGUUGUUAAGGGUUGGUUGU